AUCGGCAAUACUUCAGCCACAUCGUGACGAGAACAUAUUUGACAUUGAAAUGUAUUGUCAGAAAUAAGUUGGAUUAGUGGACUUUGCAUUGUCAGUAAUACGUUGAUUUACUGCACAUGGUAUUGCCUUUAAUAAGUUGAUUUACUGGACAUGUUAUUGUCUGUAAUACGUUGAUUUACUGGACAUGGUAUUGUCUUUAAUAAGUUGAUUUACUGGACAUGGUAUUGUCUUUAAUAAGUUGAUUUACUGGACAUGGUAUUGUCUUUAAUAAGUUGAUUUACUGGACAUGGUAUUGUCUUUAAUAAGUUGAUUUACUGGACAUGGUAUUGUCUCUUUAGAGACUACUAUUGUAACAGUUUUUUGUUUCAGAGAUAUGUUAUUGUAGCAGUAUUUUGUUACAGAGGUACAUUAUUGUAGCAGUAUUUUGUUACAGAGAUACAUUAUUGUAGCUGUAUUUUGUUACAUAGAUACAUUAUUAUAGCAGUAUUUCGUUACAAAGAUACAUUAUUGUACAUAGCAGUAUUUCGUUGAAGAGAUACAUUAUUAUAGCAGUAUUUUGUUACAUAGAUACAUUAUUGUAGCAGUAUUCUGUUUCAGAGAUACAUUAUUGUACAUAGCAGUAUUUCGUUGAAGAGAUACAUUAUUAUAGCAGUAUUUCGUUACAAAGAUACAUUAUUGUACAUAGCAGUAUUUCGUUGAAGAGAUACAUUAUUAUAGCAGUAUUUCGUUACAAAGAUACAUUAUUGUACAUAGCAGUAUUUUGUUACAGAGAUACAUUAUUGUAGCAGUAUUUUGUUACAUAGAUACAUUAUUGUACAUAGCAGUAUUUCGUUGAAGAGAUACAUUAUUAUGGCAAUAUUUUGUGACAGAGAUACGUUAUUGUAGCAGUUCAUUUUGGCAGAAUCACAUUAUUGUACCAGUUUAUAAUUGCAUCCCUUUAUCGAUGAUGCCGUAUGUUCUAGCUGCGCAGUAGACAGUGGUACCCGCAUCCUCAGGACAACCAAUCACCACACAGACUUUCAGAUGAAGGUGUUCAAAUUCGCUGGGAACUACAACAUAGUGUACAUCACAUGUGACGUCAGAGUCAGUCCAGUCAUGGAUAACUCUCCUCCUGCCAGCAGACCUGCACAUCGUCCGGGAAGAGAAACAGUGAAAGAAACACAGGGCAGAACAGAGUUAGGUUUGGUCCUGUCGUAGUAGAGGACCUACCUGUCAGCUGAGACUGUUGUCAACGUGUGUAGUGGCUACAGGCCCUCGUGCCUUUGCGAGGAUUAAAAAUUAAAAAUAUAAAAAAAGUUCUUUAUUUUAAUGUUUAAUCCUCCCAAAGACACGAGGGUGUCGACCGUUAAACAAGGGAUUGCGUACACAACGUUUGCUAAUAAACAGAUCUAGUAUUGAGUAUGCCUGA